rnacentral:rRNA from 1 species
UACGUAGGGGCCUAGCGUUGUCCGGAAUUAUUGGGCGUAAAGAGCUCGUAGGCGGAUCGUUAAGUCGGGGGUGAAAUCCUGGAGCUCAACUCCAGAACUGCCUUCGAUACUGGCGAUCUCGAGUCCGGAAGAGGUGAGUGGAACUCCUAGUGUAGAGGUGGAAUUCGUAGAUAUUAGGAAGAACACCAGUGGCGAAGGCGACUCACUGGUCCGGUACUGACGCUGAGGUGCGAAAGCGUGGGGAGCAAACAGG